rnacentral:misc_RNA from 1 species
AGCAAAAAGCAAAGCAUUAAAACAAUAAUAAAAUUAGUAAAGUGAUUCAUAAGUAAUUGUUUUUAAUUAAAUUAUGUGUUUUGAUCAUUUUAUUGUUUGGUUUUGAGUCUGCAUUGCAUUUCUUUGUUAGUUUUGAUAACACGUGGUUUGACUUUGUGUUUUGUUAUUUUGUCCGACAUUCCACUAUUUUUCCAAAAUUUUAACCCAAAGCCACCUUGAUCCCACUUUCUCAAUUCUAUAAUUGAAUAGAGAAACCAAUGAUCGAAGAAACAAUCACUGUUUUAGUUCUUCAGAAAAGUUCAUGCCUCUCAAGAAAUAAGUGAUACUUGAUUUGUCAAGUAUCAUCAUGGAUUUUUUUCCUGUCAAUGGCAUACAUGCAUUUGAGAGCUUGAUUGGGGAAUCUUGAAAACAAGAUUAUUCACAAAAUAUAGAGUUAUAUUCUUGCAAAAAAAUUCUGUCGCAUUUGAGUAGUGGGCAUGAAACUGGGCUUUUAAGUUCAAUUAUCAAUUUUCAAGUUGAAGAACCGAAAAAUUUAUUCCAACAAAUUUAAAUACAUUUCAAAGGUGAAAGUUACUUUGAGAUAAAAAUUGAAAAGAGAAUAUCACAAAACCGAACUGAUCAUUUGAUUCUUAUUGCUAAUGUCCCUAAUAUCUAUUAAGGAAACAUUAUAUGCUGAACAGUGCAUCAAAAUUAGGGACCAUGCUUAUAGAUUCUUCUGAAGGGAGCUACAAUAGCUGUACCAUGGCUUCACUGGUUCAAUUGGCUUGGCUAGUAAACGUCUCAUGAACUGUUGCUGUCAUUAGGUAUGAGUGUGUGGGCUGCACAAACGCUUACAUACAUAAAUGCGUCUUGACUUGGUUGUGACUUUAAUCAUGAGAAUGUUGAGUAGGCCACACGAAUGCAUGUAUUAUGGCAGGAAGUAGGGAACUGGCAAAAAACUGAUUUCGCAGCAUUCAACAUUUUAAUAAAUUUAGCAAUAAACUGAUUAGAGUGGAGGAAAAGAAUCCAUAUAUCACAUAUCAAACUGAAUUGAGAUUGAAUUUUGAGGCCUAGUUGUGUUAUGGGAGUUUGGUGUGUGUAUUUUUUUUUCAUUGAAAUGUCAUUGAUUGGUUCAUUAAUGUUGAUGGGAGACUCUUUCAUCCUAAUGUCAAUUGCGAUCCCUUAGUUAUUGUGGGCCAAAGUCAAACGCCAUUCAUACCUCUUCUAGGAUUGUCUAGCAGUUCUUGUGGGUCUCGCACAGGGCUAACCAACAUUUGUAUUUGGUUGACUAGUUGAGGCUAACAACCUUUUGUACUGUUUUGAUUUCUCUUUCAAAUAGUUUGGCGAGGAAGAGGAAAAAGAUUUAAGAAGAAGGCUCUAUUUCCUGCUUCAGACGCUUAAUGAUGCCCUUAUCUGUAGCAUUUAAUAUGUUUGGUUUUCUAAGUAUUUGAGAAGAUUAGACAUGUUUAUUGGAGUAAAGAAAGAUAACUGUUUUAAACAAUGAAUCGUCAUGUUUAUUUUCAAUCUGAAAAAGCUCAGGGGAAUUGAAUAGGAGGAAAAGUGCAAGAGAUUAACUGUAUAAGCAAAGCUCAUAUCUGUAUAUAUUCCAUGGAAUGUAACUUGGGAAAAGAAAAUGAAAAGUAAUAAUUGGAAAUGAACAAAUGGAAAAGAUUAACUGUGUAUGCAAUGCUCAUAUCUGUAAUCUGUGUAGUAAUAACUAUAAUUUCUUCCCACUUAGUAAACUUUUAUAUUACAUGGCAUUUGUCCCAUACUUGCUAUUGUUCUAAAGAUUGUUGAAAUGCCUUUUGUUUUUAAUUCUCAGUUCUCAAUAGCUUGAU